rnacentral:lncRNA from 1 species
UUUUCUUCUUCGUUGUAACUCAGAUCGAAGAUUAGUAUUGAUAUUAGUAUAAGGUUCUAUGUGGGCUUUUGUCCUUUUUGUUAUACUUUGAACCAUUACUUGGAUGUCUUCAAUUGUAAUAUUCCCUAUUUAAGUUUCCUCCCUCUUUUUCUUCUUCUUCUUCUUCUUCUUCUUCUCCUCCUCCUCCUCCUCCUUCGUCUAUGUGUGAUUCACUAGUUCAAGUUUCAAAUACUUGAAUUUGUGCUAUUUUCUUUUGAUAAUAAAUUAUUUUCUCUUUAAAUCGUUUAAUUUAACGUCUUCCAUUAUCCGUGAUCUUACAAAAUCUCUGCUCAAGAUCAGUCCAAAUAUAAAUUAUUGUUCUAGAAUACAUCACAAACUUAGCAAUCCCUUUUGAUAAAGAGGUCAGCAAUUAAGAAGUUACCAUGUCGUUGAUCGGUUGUAUGGUUGAAAAUUCCUUUGAAGUGAUUGUUGGAGCUACACAAAUCUCAUUUAUGAAUCUCAAUUUGUUUUUGGAUUACAAGGCUAUGAGCAUAGAUAUUAACAUGCCUGAAAACCUCUUCUAUCAAAGUGGGAGUUCAUCAGAUUUAUUCCAAGUGCAUCAGAUGAUGUAAAAAAAACGCAUGAUUGAGGUCAUGUCGUGCUACAGUUUUCGGAGUUAUAUGGUAUGAUUAUUUUAAGAGAUAACAAAAACAAGAGUAAAAGAAAGAUGAAGAUGAG